CAUAGAUGCUAAUACCAAGGAGAGUCCAGAGAUAUUCUCAUGAGAUGAAACAAGAGUGUGAAGGGAAAAACGUGUUUCCUUUUCAGAAAUGUCGUCCUAACCUGGACUAUUCCCCAAGACUCUGCAACGGAACAGUGAAAGCGAAAUUCUUGUUUUGUGGUCGGCUUGAUAUGGGAGGUAAAGCCAUGACAAACGAGUUGCAAAACAUACUGGAUACGCCCAAAUCUUUGGUUUUGUUUGGGAGUGGUCUAUGGCGGAUGUUCAACAAAACAGAUAACUCGAAUUAUGCAAGAGCGAUCAUAGAUUCUGUGAAAAGCAACACCACACGGAAAUGGCCCAAAUUACUUUGGUCUGGGUUUAGUGGUUUCGGACUCUGGCGAACAGAGCUUGUUCGGGGAGUAACUAAUGAAAAUGCUCAAGUCUACAACCGAUACAUGGAGAGGUUUGUAGGGAAGUAUAACGUUCCGAUGUUCGAUACAUUCAACUUGACUCGAGGUAUUCGAAGUCUGGAUGGAACUCAUUUUGGUCCGGGGGUCAAUUUUCUUAAAGCACAGAUCUUUUUGAAUUACCUCUUGGAGUUGAAAAACAAAGGAGAGUGGGCCUGAGACGGUUCCAGUUAAUGUGUACGGUUUGCCCUAUGCCCAAUCGGUCUGUGUUGUAUUUGUGUAAUGCUAUUUGAUGAACAUAAAGAAUUUUCUGGA